UCGACUCUGAAUGAUCAGAAUGAACCGGGGUACUGGGGCCUGACAUGCCUGAUAGUCUGAGAAUCAACAUAAACAAACACGUAUAAGAAUCUGUAUCCACUACCAACAUCAACCCUAAAUCUAUUACGAAUAAUCCUCAACCUCUCAACGUUCUAUCUACCUAUCACUCAUUUCUAGUCCUAAUCUUCUACCCAACCUAACAAUCUAGGCUUGUUUCAUUGACUUAAAACCUGUCGCUCUGAUACCAACCUGUGGCGCCCUCCAAACCCGGGUCAGAAGUUUGGGGUCCACAUCUCAACAUAAACCUGUAAUUAAUGAUAUAAUAUAUAUAGUGACCCUUCACUGUCCUUGGAUCGCAACAGGUUAAAGUAUAAAACAAGCCACAACACAACUUUAAUUAUUACAAACCCAAAUCCCAAAAUAAAAACUUAAAUCUUACAAGCUUACACGCCAUUUGUGUCUCGUUAUUCAAACUAGUACAUAUAUGAAAAGCCAGGUGCUGCUGAUAGCUCUCUUCAUCUCCUAGCCUGGAAUCCUGACCUUACUACUAGCCUGAGGGUCAUCGUUACCAACUUUCUCUGCCUUCACUGGAAAGAACAUAAAAUACCGCAAGAGUGAGCUAACCAGCUCAGCAAGUAUAACAAUAUCAAUUUAAAAUAUUAAUCAUAAGCUGAAGGAAACCAGUGUCUCAAGGAAUCAAUCUCAAUACCAAGAUUUGUUUUUAGAACAUUGAUUAGAAUUGGAUAUUAAAUUUAUUUUUAAAAAUCAAAGGUUAGGCUGCUGAUCAGUCAGACACUAACCCCGAGCAGGUCCCACCAUGCUCGUUUAUUGGAUCCAAGGCACACAUUGGCCUAAAGUGACCACUCAUCUGGUCUGACCAUUCAUCUGGUCCAAGUUUAGAAAACUAUCCAAUUCUAUCACAAUCAAGAUGAUCAACAAUAUUAUUCAAUAAAAUAAGAACAUCAAUAUCAUAAAUAAAUUUUGAAGCAGAAGCAACUACUAUUCAAAGUGUCUCAAAUGGAUCUCAAAGGAGAAAUGAGAAUUAUCUUCAUGGUUUUAGCAAAGAAUCAGAUAUUGCCUUAUAGGAUGGCAAAGCACGUCAAAGUUUCGUGUUUACAUGAAGAAGGGUUCUAGGUUCACAAAAAGAAUCCAAGUAUAAAUGAAUGCUGUUAAGAUCAAGAAACUGGAGUUUAUGGAAAGAAUCAAUCAACUGUAAGUUAUAUGUCAUAACAGAUGUUAUUUGGGGUCGUUCAACUGGUUACGGUCUGAAAUAAAAGUGAUUGAUAACUGGUUGAGGUAUCGAGGGUAUAUUUUUGAAAUGAAAUUAGGUUGUUAUGGUAAUCAUUUAGAAGUUUUAAAGAUGGAAGGUUUACAAUUGAAAUAAGUUUCGUAGCAGGUAUCAAAGAAUCGGUCAAAGGUUCAAGAAUCAAUAAGGUAAGUAAUCCAUAAUAUAGUUCAAGAAAUCUGGUUGAAGGUUCAAGAAUCAAUAGGAUAAAUAAUCCAUAAAAUAGUUCAAGAAAUUUGGUUGAAGGUUCAAGAAUCAAUAGGAUAAAUAAUCCAUGCGAUAAUUCAAUAGGUCACAGGACUUCAUCAGAAAGUUCACUAAAUAAUCACAACAGAUACAACAUAUAAUUGAAGGAAAGUCUGAGGGAACUUGCCUUAUAUAGCUGAUCUCAAGUUUCAACUACGCUUGCUCGCUAUACUACUCUAUCACCACUUGCUUUCCCUUCCUACGUCUCGCUUCUUCUGCUAAUCACAACAAUUCUUUAUCAAUAUAUGAUCUCAUACUAUUCUUAUCAUCCUUUAUUCGAAACGAGCUUCUAUCUACCCUUCGUUUCACCCAAAUCCGAUUUACGGAUCAAAAGAUAUGUCAAACACAAUUUUAUAUCAAUCACGUAAACACAUAACAUAUCAAUCAGAUAGCACAUAGCUCAUAUCACAUAAAAUAUUUAAUAAAAUAUAUUUUUCAAAAGAGGUUUGAAGUCAAACAGACUUUUCUGGUAUUUAUUAAGAACUUUUAAACAUUUUUCGGAAUUAAAACGGGUCAAAGAAUCAUUUUAUAAAUAAAUAAUCAAUUUUGGAUACUCGAAAUCAAGUCCGAAAUCAUUUGAAAACAAUUAACGAGCUUCAAUCAUAUUUUAGAAUAAUAUUUUAAAGCUCGAAACUAUUUUUCGGAAUUUUAAAAUCAUUUAAAAUUAUAUAAAAUAAUUAAAUCCAAUCAAUAAAUCAAUUAAAAUCAAUUAAUAAUUAAUUAAAAUAAUUAAUCAAUUAAUAAUUAACUUAAUUGACUAAUUAUAAUAAUUAAUUACUAAUUAAAAUUAAUUAAUAAAUUAAAUCAGAUUUAUUUUUGAAUAAUUAAAAACAAUUUUUGAAAUUAAAAUAAAUGAUUUUCGAAAUUAAAAUAAAUUAGUUUUUAAAGGUUUUAAAACUUCAGGGUUUAAACUGCAAGUUUUGAAACUUAAAGGUUUGAAUUGCAAGUUUUAAAACUAUGGUACAACAACUUCACCAUCUUCAAAAGAUGGGUGACCAAACGGAAAUUUUUCCGCCGGUCACCACCUGCCACGCCGGAGACGGCGUUUGCCGCCUCCUCCGACCACCAUACACUGCAGAUCCACUCCCCAUGUCACCGGGAACCCAUUUAUGUAAUUAGUUUCGUCAAAGGACGCCGGAAUCGGCCGGAUUGUGGCCGGGAAAUUCGCCGGCGACGGCGAGCUUCGUCGGCUCCGUUCCGGUCGAUUUCCAGGUCCCCCGACUUCAAAAUAUAGCUCAACCGACUCCUCUUUACACCCUCUAUCCAUUACAAGCUUCAAAACAUCCCCAGAAUCAACGAAUCGAAAAGCCCCAAUUUCAAUUGAAAACAUUCAAACAAGCUAUGAACCCUAGUUCUUCAAAUUCGAAAAUCAAACCCAAUUUUAAAGGUGUUAUGAACCUCCAAAUCACACAUAUGAUAUACCAAAAUGAUCAGGAGAACAUUAUCUACAACAUACAAUCACCAAAACACAUAAACAACUUCAAAAUCAAAAAGUCCCAAUUUGAAUUAAUUUAAUUCGAAUUUUAAACCCAAAAAUCCAAAUUACCUGAUGAUUUCUGAGUGUUUUUGAUGAUGAAAAUGGAUUCUACACGUCGAAACCUUCGAUUUGGAUACUUGAACACCAAAAUCCGAGUCCGAUAACACCUCCGAUUCUUCGUUUGAAUCUCAAGAACGCGAUAAACUCUCUCGGGAAUUUCUCGGUUUUAACUGGUUUUAUGAUUUUCGUAAUGAAAUAAAGUACGGUUAAG
rnacentral:lncRNA from 1 species